CCUGAUCCAGCCAUGCCGCGUGCAGGAAGACUGCCCUAUGGGUUGUAAACUGCUUUUACAGAGGAAGAACCACCCCCACGUGUGGGGGUUUGACGGUACUCUGCGAAUAAGGAUCGGCUAACUCCGUGCCAGCAGCCGCGGUAAUACGGAGGAUCCAAGCGUUAUCCGGAAUCAUUGGGUUUAAAGGGUCCGUAGGCGGGCAGUUAAGUCAGUGGUGAAAGUCUUCCGCUCAACGGGAGAACUGCCAUUGAUACUGAUUGUCUUGAGUUAUUAUGAAGUGGUUAGAAUGAGUAGUGUAGCGGUGAAAUGCAUAGAUAUUACUCAGAAUACCGAUUGCGAAGGCAGAUCACUAAUAAUAUACUGACGCUGAUGGACGAAAGCGUAGGUAGCGAACAGGAUUAGAUACCCUGGUAGUCUACGCCGUAAACGAUGGUUACUAGCUGUUCGGCCCAAUUGAGGGCUGAGUGGUUAAGCGAAAGUGAUAAGUAACCCACCUGGGGAGUACGUUCGCAAGAAUGAAACUCAAAUG
rnacentral:rRNA from 1 species